CACCUCCUCUGUUCGCCACUCUCCCUCGCUCUAUGUCUCCUCAUCUCCCCAUCCGAGCUAGGGCUUUUCGCUCUCGACGGUGCUUUGGGUUAGGGUUCUUGUGCUCCAUUAGCGAGCAAAACUGCUGUUCAGGUAUGGUUUGCCCUACAUGCCGCAACCCUAACGGGCCCUGCCCCUUGGUGGUGUGCUUGGGGUGAAUGGAUUUCUUCAAUAGUUUGAUGUUGUGCUCCAUGAAAGUUGUUGGAGGCGCAUGGUGAGUUCAAUGUACUGAUGACCCACAAGUGUAGGGGAUCUAUCAUAGUCCUUUUCGAUAAGUAAGAGUGUCGAACCCAACGAGGAGCAGAAGGAAAUGAUAAG